rnacentral:lncRNA from 1 species
CAGUUUGAGGACCAGUGCUGAUACCGACAACAUCUGACAGCUGCCCAGCGCUCACCCAGUCUGUGUGGAGAAGUCCCUGUGGUUCGUGUUCUGGCUUGUCACCUCCUCUGCUCUCCUGAAAGUGGUUCCAGAUUUAAUGGAAGGUGCACGGUGCGCUGCUUCGCACCCUGAGGCCGAGUUGCUGCAGCGCCAGGUAUGGAGAGACUGCUUUUCGAAAUGGAACAGAAGAACUGAGCAUACAAAAAGAAAAAGGCCCUCCUGCCUGCCUCGGAGACCGGGGGAUCAGGUCACCUCUGACGCCCUGAGUCUGGGGGCCUCCCCACCUCCACUGCCCUUCUGAAGUCGAUUCCUCCAGAAGGAGCCUAGCUAGGACAGCCCCAGAUGGGGGCAAACAGGGAGCGGGAUGCUCAGAGUCCCCUUCUCAAAGCCCCCCUCCCAGUCAUUUUAAAAGAUAAAAGUUUUAAAGUUGCCCCCUUAGACACAAAGUUUAGAGCAG